UCUGAUUGUUUUCUUCUUCCAACAACAAUGGUUAUUUCUUAUUUGCUUCUUCUUUUCUAUGUUGUUGCUACGUUUGUACGGGAAGCCUUGCAUGCAGGUAACUUUUUUCACUUUACAUUUCCAUUGAAAUUUUGAGAUUUUAACCUAAUUUUUGAAAUUUGAGUUUGAAAAAUUCUAAUAGCGAAAGGCUUGAAACUCACAAAUGAAUAGUGAUAACUGAGACAGAAACCGACAUAGUCUCUGGUAUUAUAUCUUGUCGAUUUUUAGUUUUUUUCCUAUAUAGCUUCCUCUUUGAUCUGUCUUUGUUUCUCUAUUUGAUUCAAUAAAACACUCGAUUACCUCUAAUGUUGUUUGUCCUGUUGCUUCUUACCAUAUUUGUUUCUCUUUGGUGCAGUUUGUUUGUUAUAUCUCUGUUGUAUUUUUCAAUUCAGGAGAUAUUUUGAUCACAGGCCAACUAUCCGCCCAAAUGCGAAGAAGCUUAAUAAUUUACUCCUUCAUCGAAAUAACAUGACAUGAGAAGAGUUUGCCUCACAAAUUUGAACGUCUAGGUUUCAUAGGCGAGCCAAUGGAGGUAAAGCCAGGCAGGGGAGAGUUCCAUGAAAACCCAACAACAUGCAUUUGUGCACAUUCUGAAAUGGAUAUCGGUGCUACUACUAUUAGUGCUAGGAGAUAUAUAUGUGAAGUAAUUGAUGGUCAGGUAGGUGAAGAAGAUCAAGAAUGGUAUGAUGCAGAAUAUACAAAGAAUGCACUUGAAAUUCAAUGAAGAGGGCUUCAGAAAGACAUGAUGCAAAUUCUGGAAGAUUUAUAAAACAAAACAGUCAGAAAUAGAAGAAGAUUUUCUUAGAUUAAAGAGAAGCUGCAGCAUAUGGAGCAUGUCCUCAUUCUGAGUACUAGCUUCAAUUCAUUUGAUAACAAGAUAACGGUAAGUCAAAGAUAUAAGCCAACGGUCCAGGUAGAAGAGAAAACUUUAUAAGCCGCUUACUCAGAACUUGUGCUUUUCUAUCCAUACCGCUUCAAUGCUGCAUUUGUCUAUUUCAAUUUGUAUAAUUAUAACAUUUUUUUGGUACUUACGGGGAUGCAUAUAUCUAUAUUUUCUCGGUUAAUUUUAUAACACCUAAUGACUUUGAAAACAACUCGAAGGUUGUGUCAACAAAAAUUUCAACGUCAGUAAUGCACUUAUAUUCUGUCAAUUAUUUUUGUUACCUUUCAGCUUAAUUACGUUCUAUAUUGGAGUUGACAGAAAGUAGUAAUCUUAUUGUCUUUUAUCUAAUACUAAUCAGCAGCAAACAAUUUAUUCUAAUUUUGAUGAUUUAACUGAAAAUAAGAAACAGUUGGAAUUGGAUUAGAGGCGACGAGAUUUAUGAAAAUCAUGAUGAGGAAGAUGAAGAGUAGAUCAUUAGACGACAUUUUUGAAUUUCUGGAAGUCUUUUUCCUGCUACAAAGAAUGUAUAUGCUUGGGAGUGCACAUUUAAAGAGUGUGUAAAUGAUUAAGAAGAGACAAUAUCAGUGCUACUUUGGUUGUUCUAUUGGCAACAGUAACCACAUAUUAUUUACACACAUUCUAAGCAUGGGCUAUCCAAAGACAUCAAACAUCCUUCAAAGAAUCAUAUUUGAUGGCGCAUAUGUUGGCCAAUGUUCUCACGCUGCUGUUGCAUACAUGCAGUCACGGAUAAGGGGUAUGAUUCUACGCAAUGCAGUGGAGUGAAAGGUGGUAUAAUAGAGCCAACUAAGCAUAUUGGAAAGGAUAAUAAUAAGAAGAAAAGCAGGUUUGGAUUUAGAGCCUCUACUUUCUUACCGUCUUGCUGUUGCUUAUGUUUUCUUAAAUCUUGUGUUUUUGUUCUCCUUGAGCUGAGGGUCUUUCAAAAACAACUUCUCUACUUGGCAAGAUAGCAGUAACUGAGUUGUAUGUGGUCAUGAAAAUGCAACAACAAAGCACGCAGAUGAUGAAGGUAUGUCUUACAAAAUAAAUCAUUUAGUGAUGAUAAAUUUGGAUAGGGCCAAUAUAUACACAUCAAAAGUGCACCACUUGCAAAGAACAUACAAGCUUUCUGGAAAAAGAGUGGGAAGUGAGUCGAGAAGCUUUGAAGGACAAUAGAAAAUUUAUGUGAAAAGGACUGAAGAAGAGCAGUUUAACCAUUUGCCAUAUAUGACUUCUGCUUGCUUCAAUCAUACCGAAAAGUUUAGCUUUACAUUUUUCAUGUACUACUUUAUUCUUUUUCUACUCUUUAUUGAUAUUUUUCAUUGCUGAAUGACUAUAAAAUGUUGAGUCCGUGCUA